ACGAAGGGGGCUAGCGUUGCUCGGAAUUAAUGGGCGUAAAGGGAGCGUAGGCGGACAUUUAAGUCAGGGGUGAAAUCCCAGAGCUCAACUCUGGAACUGCCUUUGAUACUGGGUGUCUUGAGUGUGAUAGAGGUAUGUGGAACUCCGAGUGUAGAGGUGAAAUUCGUAGAUAUUCGGAAGAACACCAGUGGCGAAGGCGACAUACUGGAUCAUUACUGACGCUGAGGCUCGAAAGCGUGGGGAGCAAACAGG
rnacentral:rRNA from 1 species